AUUGAACGCUGGCGGCAGGCUUAACACAUGCAAGUCGAGCGGGGUGAUGGUGCUUGCACUAUCACUUAGCGGCGGACGGGUGAGUAAUGCUUAGGAAUCUGCCUAUUAGUGGGGGACAACAUCUCGAAAGGGAUGCUAAUACCGCAUACGUCCUACGGGAGAAAGCAGGGGAUCACUUGUGACCUUGCGCUAAUAGAUGAGCCUAAGUCGGAUUAGCUAGUUGGUGGGGUAAAGGCCUACCAAGGCGACGAUCUGUAGCGGGUCUGAGAGGAUGAUCCGCCACACUGGGACUGAGACACGGCCCAGACUCCUACGGGAGGCAGCAGUGGGGAAUAUUGGACAAUGAGGGGAACCCUGAUCCAGCCAUGCCGCGUGUGUGAAGAAGGCCUUAUGGUUGUAAAGCACUUUAAGCGAGGAGGAGGCUCUUUUGGUUAAUACCCAAGAUGAGUGGACGUUACUCGCAGAAUAAGCACCGGCUAAUUCUGUGCCAGCAGCCGCAGUAA
rnacentral:rRNA from 1 species